rnacentral:rRNA from 1 species
UACUGGAAACGGUAGCUAAUACCGCAUAACGUCGCAAGACCAAAGAGGGGGACCUUCGGGCCUCUUGCCAUCGGAUGUGCCCAGAUGGGAUUAGCUAGUAGGUGGGGUAACGGCUCACCUAGGCGACGAUCCCUAGCUGGUCUGAGAGGAUGACCAGCCACACUGGAACUGAGACACGGUCCAGACUCCUACGGGAGGCAGCAGUGGGGAAUAUUG